UAGCUCAGUCAGUUGAGCAUAGCACUAACACCGCUAAGGUCGCGGGUUCGAUUCCUGU
rnacentral:tRNA from 1 species